GGAGAGCUGGCCGAGUGGCUGAAGGCGCGCCCCUGCUAAGGGCGUAUAGGUGAAAGCUUAUCGAGGGUUCGAAUCCCUCGCUCUCCGCCA
rnacentral:tRNA from 2 species